rnacentral:rRNA from 1 species
UGGCUCAGAACGAACGCUGGCGGCGUGCCUAACACAUGCAAGUCGAACGGGACUGGGGGCUACUCCAGUUCAGUGGCGGACGGGUGCGUAACACGUGAGGAACAUGACUUUCGGUGGGGGAUAGCCGGCCCAACGGCCGGGUAAUACCGCGUACGACCUUUCGGGGACAUCCCCGGUUGGUGAAAGCAGCAAUGCGCCGAAAGAGUGCCUCGCGGCCUAUCAGCUAGUUGUCGCGGUAAUGGCCCAGCAAGGAGACGACGGGUAGCUGGUCUGAGAGGAUGGCCAGCCACAUCUGCUUGAGACACGGACCAGACUCCUACGGGAG